rnacentral:rRNA from 2 species
CUCGGUCAUCAGAGCGAGGUGGCUCCACCUUUUCCCAUUCCGAACAGAGAAGUGAAACGCCUCAGCGCCGACAAUAGUCUCCCUGCAAAGGGUCCUGAAGAUAGGUCGUGGCCGGGA